AGUAAUAUAUCGGAACGUACCUUUCAGUGGGGGAUAACGUAGCGAAAGUUACGCUAAUACCGCAUAUUCUGUGAGCAGGAAAGCAGGGGAUCUUAGGACCUUGCGCUGAUUGAGCGGCCGAUAUCAGAUUAGCUAGUUGGUGAGGUAAAGGCUCACCAAGGCGACGAUCUGUAGCGGGUCUGAGAGGAUGAUCCGCCACACUGGAACUGAGACACGGUCCAGACUCCUACGGGAGGCAGCAGUGGGGAAUUUUGGACAAUGGGGGCAACCCUGAUCCAGCCAUGCCGCGUGAGUGAAGAAGGCCUUCGGGUUGUAAAGCUCUUUCAGCCGGGAAGAAAACGCAUGGGUUAAUACCCUGUGUGGAUGACGGUACCGGAAUAAGAAGCACCGGCUAACUACGUGCCAGCAGCCGCGGUAAUA
rnacentral:rRNA from 1 species